GGUAUGUCUAGUGGAUACCAUUAAGGACCAAUAAUGGUAAUGGUUUUAAUGGUUAGCUGAUGGUUUGUAAUGGUAUUUGUAGUGGUGGAAACCAUUAGAAUUUCUGUGAUUUCUAUUGUUUGGAUGUUGUUUUUUCAGUAGAGAUAUUAUUGAUCAAUAGCUUAAAAUCGCAGAAUUGUCAGACAGCAUUAUGUAUAAAUGCUUGUUGUUUACAGUGUGGUUUAAUUUAUUGAUGAGUGUCAAAUAAAAGGAAAAAGUACAUCUACUCAGGACAUCCACAUAUACCUCGUACAUCCGCUCAGUACAUACUCAUAUACCAUCACAUCUCAGUAAUAAGUACUCAUAUACCCAUCACAUCGCUCAGUACGUACUCAUAUACCUACAUCCGCUCAGUACUCAGUACUCAUAUACCCAUCAGUACGUACUCAUAUACAUCGCUCAGUAUACAUACAUCCGACCAGUCACGUACUCAUAUAUACAUCCGCUCAGUACAUACUCAUAUACCACACAUCCGCUCAG
ensembl:lncRNA